rnacentral:misc_RNA from 1 species
GUAGGUGAACCUGCGGAAGGAUCAUUAGUAAAAUCUCAUAAAUGGGAUUUGACAUCCGCCACCCAGUGGAGGGUCGAAAAUAUCCAUUAACCACUUUAUGUGCACCGCAGAAUAUUACCUUGGCAGGUUUUUUAUAAGGAGGGGAGAGAUCACCUUUUUAUGAAAGCUGUGGCCUGCCAAUGGCUAUUAUAAAAUCUCAACGCUUUUAAAUUUAAUGUCUGAAAUUUUCAAUAGAAAAACAAAAAUAAAA